rnacentral:rRNA from 1 species
AUGCGAUCAUACCAGCACUGAAGCACCGGAUCCCAUCAGAACUCCGAAAUUAAGCGUGCUUGGGCGAGAGUAGUACUAGGAUUGAUCCCAUCAGAACUCCGAAGUUAAGCGUG